UACGUAGGGGGCAAGCGUUGUCCGGAAUUAUUGGGCGUAAAGCGCGUGUAGGCGGUCGUUCAAGUCGCGUGUGAAAGCCCCCGGCUCAACUGGGGAGGGUCACGCGAUACUGAUCGACUCGAAGGCAGGAGAGGGUAGUGGAAUUCCCGGUGUAGUGGUGAAAUGCGUAGAUAUCGGGAGGAACACCAGUGGCGAAGGCGACUACCUGGCCUGUUCUUGACGCUGAGGCGCGAAAGCUAGGGGAGCAAACGGG
rnacentral:rRNA from 1 species